rnacentral:lncRNA from 1 species
AUUUUUAACUGAAUAUUUACGAAAGCUGAAAGCGUGCGAGGGGGGUGGGGUGGAAAUAGCGGCUGCUUCUUUUCCAGGGAUUUAUUUAAUGGGGAUGUGUUCAAGGCAAGACCGAAUUCAGAAGGAUAUCGACGUCGUGAUCCAGAAGUCCAGAGCUGAGGACUGCCUGUUUGCAG